CAGCCGCCGCGGUAAAACGAAGGGGGCUAGCGUUGUUCGGAAUUACUGGGCGUAAAGCGCACGUAGGCGGACAUUUAAGUCAGGGGUGAAAUCCCGGGGCUCAACCCCGGAACUGCCUUUGAUACUGGGUGUCUAGAGUAUGGAAGAGGUGAGUGGAAUUCCGAGUGUAGAGGUGAAAUUCGUAGAUAUUCGGAGGAACACCAGUGGCGAAGGCGGCUCACUGGUCCAUUACUGACGCUGAGGUGCGAAAGCGUGGGGAGCAAACAGGAUUAGAUACCCCAGUAGUCCCUGUCUCUUAUAA
rnacentral:rRNA from 1 species